GCGCAGGCGCCGAGAGGCGCGCAGGAGACCUCAGGCCCAGGCUCCACUCCCCAGCUGUGAAAGGACUGCUGUCCAGACCCCCAAGCUAGCCCGCCAGGCCUCCAUAGAGCUGCCCAGCAUGGCUGCGUCCAGUACCAAAAGUUGGUGGGAGACGGGUGAGGUACAGGCUCAGUCUGCAGCCAAGACUCCGUCCUGCAAG
rnacentral:lncRNA from 1 species